GAUGAACGCUGGCGGCGUGCCUAAUACAUGCAAGUCGAGCGAAGCGGGGACGGGUGAGUAACACGUGGAUAACAUCCUAUAAGACUGGGAUAACUUCGGGAAACCGGAGCUAAACCGCACACUUAUGGAUGGAUCCGCGCUGCAGUAGCUAGUUGGUAAGGUAACGGCUUACAAAGGCAACGAUGCAUAGCCGACCUGAGAGGGUGACCGGCCACACUGGAACUGAGACCGGGUCCAGACUCUUACGGGAGGCAGCGGUGGGGAAUUUUCCGCAAUGGGCGAAAGCCUGACGGAGAAACGCCGGGGGAGUGAUGAAGGUCUUCGGUUCGUAAGACUCGUUUAUUAGGGAAGCGGUACCUAAUCAGAAAGCCACGGCUAACUACGUGCCAGCAGCCGCGGUAAUUC
rnacentral:rRNA from 1 species